UCCAGACUCCUACGGGAGGCAGCAGUGGGGAAUAUUGCACAAUGGGGGGAACCCUGAUGCAGCGACGCCGCGUGGGUGAAGGAGCGUUUCGGCGCGUAAAGCCCUCUCGGCAGGGAAGAAGGAGGACGGUACCUGACUAAGAAGCCCCGGCUAACUACGUGCCAGCAGCCGCGGUAAUACGUAGGGGGCAAGCGUUAUCCGGAUUUACUGGGUGUAAAGGGGGCGCAGACGGCAGCGCAAGCCAGGAGUGAAAGCCCGGGGCCCAACCCCGGGACUGCUCUUGGAACUGCGCGGCUGGAGUGCAGGAGGGGCAGGCGGAAUUCCUGGUGUAGCGGUGAAAUGCGUAGAUAUCAGGAGGAACACCGGUGGCGAAGGCGGCCUGCUGGACUGCGACUGACGUUGAGGCUCGAAAGCGUGGGGAGCAAACAGGAUUAGAUACCCCAGUAGC
rnacentral:rRNA from 1 species